CAACCUUCACUGUUCUGACCUAGGUUGCUCGAAAAACGAAACCAACACCUUCACUCCCAAACGAAAGCAACACCAACACUGCUUCCGUUCUCACCGGCGGCUUCACCCUUCCGUUCACUGUCGUCGUUGCUCUGUCGUCGUUGCUUCACUGACGCCGUUCCCCUUGCGCUGCACUCCUUCUUGCUUCACCCUCCUCACUGCUUCACCCUCACUUUCCCCUGCGCUUGUUUAGGUCUGCUCCCUGUUUAGAGCCGCCGCCCACGGCUGUCGUCCACGGCACGGCAGCCGCCCACGCCGCAGCCCACUCCGCCGCCCUUAGGUUUGGUUACUAUUGCUGAUCGAACUGCAGAGGAAUAUAUGGUUACCAUUAUUAUGAAACAUUUCCCGUCUCACGCAGUGUAAGUUAAAGUUGGGAGCUUGUAUUUUGACUUAUCAUUUCAGGAUCAUGAAUGUGUUUUUCCCCUCAAGAUAUGGCUUUGCCUUAUUGCUGAUAGGGGCUGAGUAACAGAAUGUUGUAAGAUUGUCAAUACUUUUAAUAAUUUGUUAUUGAUUUGCACUUUUGGAGAAGAGAAUGGUUGGAGGUGUAAAGAAAAGCAUUCAAAUUAUGUAUGGGUUUUAUAUCCUAUUGAUGGCACAAAGAGCUUUAUUACUGGAAAACCUGUAUUAGGUACUCCCAUAGCUCUUCUGUUCAAGGGUAAGCCGGUAUGAAUCAAUUGUAAUUCAUGCGAAUCUAGGUAAAUGUUUAAUAGAUGGAAAUAAGGACUAUUAUCUUCUUGUGAAAAGAAUAUUUUAAGAGAAAUUCCAUGUGUUGUUUUGCGCUUAAUGCUUAUCUUUACAAGAGCUUUUAUAUUGCUAAAACAUGACAUGACUAGCAGUUAUUUUUGUGCUAUAAUUUCUAUAGCUUCCCUUUCCAAUAUUUUCUACAAGUAACAUUGAUGUUUGCAGAUACUAGGUAUAAUUGAUCAACCUAUUCUCAGAGAAAGAUGGAUUGGUAUAAGUGGGAAGAGGACUACAUUAAAUUCUGUUAUUGUCAUAGUUUCUGGCUUCUUUUUAUUUCAAGGAAAUGUUAGCUCGGUUUCCAUGAUAUACUGUAGGCUAUCAUGAGGAAGUCUUUUUCGGCUGUCAUUGGUGAGCUGUAGCGUCAGGCAUGGAUGAAGAUCAACACGCAAAUUCAGGGCCAUCUAACGAAUCACCAAAUCAAGUACCCCAAAAGAAAAAAAGGAAGCCAAGAGGUCUUUGCUUGCCUAAACUUGAGGUCUACAUAUUUAAUUCUCAACAGAAGAAGAGAAAUUUGGUGAUUAAGGAGCCACUAAACAAUGCUUUCGGAGUUACAAGAGACUAAGUGGACAAUCUAAGGGAACUAAAUUAACAUGGAUUCCAGCACAGUGUGCUCAACAACCGGGAUCACUAGAUUGUGGCUACUACGUCAUGCGUUUUAUGUACGACAUAAUAAUGAAUCAUGGUAAUAGUCAAGAUCUUACUACGGAUUUUUCAAAAACAUUGCCUUAUUCACCGGAGGAGACUAAUGAGGUGAAAGAUGUUUGGGCAGAUUACUUUGUGAACAAUGUUGAAUUUUAGCUUAAUUUGUACUAUGAACUCGAUCUCUAGCUAGCUACCUUUGUUGUAAUAAUUUUAUGUUUGUAAUUGUAACAUGUUGGUGUAGACACCUACUUUUGUCCCCAUUCCCGCAAGGGAAAGGUUCGAUGAUGAAAGCAUAAAAACUCCACUUGACAA